GAGGAAUAUUGGUCAAUGGGCGCAAGCCUGAACCAGCCAUGCCGCGUGCAGGAAGAAGCAUCUAUGGUGUGUAAACUGCUUUUAUACAGGAAGAAACCUCCCUACGUGUAGGGACUUGACGGUACUGUAGGAAUAAGGAUCGGCUAACUCCGUGCCAGCAGCCGCGGUAAUACGGAGGAUCCAAGCGUUAUCCGGAAUCAUUGGGUUUAAAGGGUCCGUAGGCGGUCUUAUAAGUCAGUGGUGAAAGCCCAUCGCUCAACGAUGGAACUGCCAUUGAUACUGUAAGACUUGAAUUUUUGUGAAGUAACUAGAGUAUGUAGUGUAGCGGUGAAAUGCUUAGAUAUUACAUGGAAUACCAAUUGCGAAGGCAGGUUACUAACAAACGAUUGACGCUGAUGGACGAAAGCGUGGGGAGCGAAC
rnacentral:rRNA from 1 species